GACGAACGCUGGCGGCGUGCUUAACACAUGCAAGUCGAACGAAGUGGCGAACGGGUGAGUAACGCGUAAUCAACCUGCCCUUCAGCGGGGGACAACAGCUGGAAACGACUCCUAAUACCGCAUACUGAAGAAGGGGAUUGCGUCUGAUUAGCUAGUUGGAGGGGUAACGGCCCACCAAGGCGAUGAUCAGGAGGCGGUCUGAGAGGAUUAUCGGCCACAUUGGGACUGGGACAAGGCCCAGGCUCCUACGGGAGGCAGCAGUGGGGAAUCUUCCGAAAUGGACGAAAGUCUGACGGAGCAACGCCGCGUGAGUGAUGACGGGCUUCGGGUUGUAAAGCUCUGUUAAUCGGGACGCGGUACCGGAAUAGAAAGCCACGGCUAACUACGUGCCAGCAGCCGCGGUAAUUC
rnacentral:rRNA from 1 species